rnacentral:rRNA from 1 species
UACACUCCUACGGGAGGCGGCAGUGGGGAAUAUUGGACAAUGGGCGCAAGCCUGAUCCAGCCAUGCCGCGUGAGUGAUGAAGGCCCUAGGGUUGUAAAGCUCUUUCACCGGUGAAGAUAAUGACGGUAACCGGAGAAGAAGCCCCGGCUAACUUCGUGCCAGCAGCCGCGGUAAUACGAAGGGGGCUAGCGUUGUUCGGAUUUACUGGGCGUAAAGCGCACGUAGGCGGACUAUUAAGUCAGGGGUGAAAUCCCGGGGCUCAACCCCGGAACUGCCUUUGAUACUGGUAGUCUUGAGUUCGAGAGGGGUGAGUGGAAUUCCGAGUGUAGAGGUGAAAUUCGUAGAUAUUCGGAGGAACACCAGUGGCGAAGGCGGCUCACUGGCUCGAUACUGACGCUGAGGUGCGAAAGCGUGGGGAGCAAACAGGAUUAGAAACCCCAGUAGUCCCAUGA